GCCUGGGUGUGGUGGCUCACGCCUGUAAUCCAAGCUGCUGGGAGGCUGAUGCUGGAGGAUCGUUUGAGCUCAAGAGCUCUGAGCUGCAGUGGACAAUGCCCAUCAGGUGUCCGCACUAAGUUCGAUAUGGUUCUCCUGCGGGAGUGUGAGACUACCAGGUCACCUAAGGACAGGUGAACUGGCCCAGGUCGGGAACGGAGCAGGUCAAAGCCCCCGUACCACUCAGUAGUGAGAUUGCGCCCGUGACUAGAAGCUGUAGUUCAGCCUGAGUAAGAUAGUGAGACUCUGUCAUUU
rnacentral:SRP_RNA from 1 species